GACUACAUGCCAGGACCUCCCCUUGGCAGGGAUGUCUCCCAAGGUAAAUUUUGGAGUGCUGUUCUACAGAGGGCUCUGUGGACAUAUCUGAAGUGACAGUGAAAUAACUUCAACUGGAAUGAUGAAGGAUACUUUCUUCAUCGGCCACACCUAUAUGUGAUUAACUGCUUUUUUUUUUUUUUUUUUUUUUUUUUUUUUUUUAGGAGAUGUGCAUUGAUAUAAUUUCAGGUGGAAAAAAAAAUUGAAGUUCCUGCUGCUGAUUUUGAGUUAGUAUAGUACGAUCAUUCCAAUCCUUUCUCAUUGACAUUGGAAGCAAAAAGUAUUUUGCAGGAUGAAUUUGGCAUGGCUUGACCAAAUUUUUAUUUAAACCAGUUAAUUGGCUUUAGAUGAAAUAGGGGUCUGGAGCUGCCUGAUUCAGACAAACUGACUGAAAAAAAAAAAAAAAAGACAUUUUCAAUGUUUAAGCAACUACAUGGCAAAAGCUCUUAUGCUUAGAGACUCUCAGAUAUGCAAAGAGUUCUGCAGAAUUGUUGCUGCUUGUUAAAUGGGACUUAA
rnacentral:lncRNA from 1 species